rnacentral:rRNA from 3 species
UUUUGUAUAAUGGGUCAGCGACUUAUAUUCUGUAGCAAGGUUAACCGUAUAGGGGAGCCGAAGGGAAACCGAGUCUUAACUGGGCGUUAAGUUGCAGGGUAUAGACCCGAAACCCGGUGAUCUAGCCAUGGGCAGGUUGAAGGUUGGGUAACACUAACUGGAGGACCGAACCGACUAAUGUUGAAAAAUUAGCGGAUGACCUGUGGCUGGGGGUGAAAGGCCAAUCAAACCGGGAGAUAGCUGGUUCUCCCCGAAAGCUAUUUAGGUAGCGCCUCGUGAACUCAUCUUCGGGGGUAGAGCACUGUUUCGGCUAGGGGGCCAUCCCGGCUUACCAACCCGAUGCAAACUACGAAUACCGAAGAAUGUUAUCACGGGAGACACACGGCGGGUGCUAACGUCCGUCGUGAAGAGGGAAACAACCCAGACCGCCAGCUAAGGUCCCAAAGUCAUGGUUAAGUGGGAAACGAUGUGGGAAGGCACAGACAGCCAGGAUGUUGGCUUAGAAGCAGCCAUCAUUUAAAGAAAGCGUAAUAGCUCACUGGUCGAGUCGGCCUGCGCGGAAGAUGUAACGGGGCUAAACCAUG